GUGGGGAAUUUUGGACAAUGGGCGAAAGCCUGAUCCAGCGACGCCGCGUGUGUGAAGAAGGCCUUCGGGUUGUAAAGCACUUUCGUUGGGAACGAAAUAUGACGACCUAACACGUCGGCAAGCUGACGUUACCCAAAUAAGAAGCACCGGCUAACUCUGUGCCAGCAGCCGCGGUAAUACAGAGGGUGCAAGCGUUAAUCGGAAUUACUGGGCGUAAAGCGCACGUAGGCGGCUACGUAAGUCAGGUGUGAAAUCCCCGGGCUCAACCUGGGAACUGCACUUGAGACUGCGUGGCUAGAGUAUGGGAGAGGAAGGCGGAAUUCCCGGUGUAGCGGUGAAAUGCGUAGAUAUCGGGAGGAACAUCAGUGGCGAAGGCGGCCUUCUGGACCAAUACUGACGCUCAGGUGCGAAAGCGUGGGGAGCAAACAGGAUUAGAAACCCCUGUAGUCC
rnacentral:rRNA from 1 species